GAAUACCAUAAACACGCAGAAGGUCAUCUCAAAAACGAGGUCCGAGGAAAAAUGCAACCAUUUUUUCAAGUCAGGGACAAAUACGUGUCUUCGCACACACGGAAUAAGGUGACAAACUCUGAAUCAGAGUCCAUGAUAAAGUCCCUGAAUCAUCCCGGAAAUAGUAAGACAUAUCCUAAAAGCGACAUGCAAGAUGGCGUGUAAACUUGCACAAGUCUCUAAGGUAAAAUCAAUAGUUAAAAUGAUAAUUUCUAAUAAAUAAUAACUAACAGACUGAGGUCACUGUCCGCUUAUCCAGACUUGCCACCUCGAAGGCUAGAAUUACAAUACAUCCAUGGGCUCAGCAUUCAGUACAGCCUUGGAGCAAGGCUAGGUGGCCUGUUUCUUGCAUAAUUAUCAGUUGAUCCAACAACCCUUGAGAAUUUCGCCCAACAGCAAUCACAGGUCUAAAGUCCUCAGUGGGGUCACGACCAGGAAAUGAGUGUGUUGAUAAGGUCACGUAAACAGGAAUCUAAACGUCUUACGUCCACUGAAAUACUACAUCAAACAUGACUUCAUCAAUAUCAAGACCAUACAAAUAUCUGCUGUAGUUGAAAAUUUGAUGUAUUUUGGAAUCCUGUAAUCAAUAUUGCACGUGCUAAACUUGUGCACGUCCUCCACGGGGGCUGAACGUGACGUCACUAAUGGUCACUCCCCGGCUGAAAUUGACAACCCGGGCAUUUAUGAAUGCGUGUGGCUCGGAGUCCAGACAAUCCUGUCGAGCUAAAACAACUAUAAAUACCCAACUAACGUUAUCGCGCUCAGUUUCUUCUCAAUCCUAGUGAGCAAACCUGAAACAGAUUUCAGCUGAGAAACAGAGACAAUGGGUUUCAUCAAGAGCACAUUCUACCUGGGGCUCAGGUACGUCUUCCUCUUCCUCCUGUUGGGCUACCACACACUGGCCAAAUUGUGGCACUCGCUUUUGGCACCAUUUGAAGGUGUCCAAGCUGAGGCCAGGAAGGUCCCCCCAAGAAGUGUCAUUCCAAGGCAUUGUGGCUACUCUGAAAAGGCUGAUUUUCUUGGCAGUGCUGGUAUGGGCACACGUGGUCCAGUCCAUCUUGGACAGGGUGAUGCAGCCAGUGUAUAACAUUGUAGAGAACAUGUCUGACUUCGUGGAGAGAUAUGGCCCCCAGAAAACUUCCAGAAUGGAAAAGGUGGAGUGAACAAUUCAGGACUGACGCAAUUUGUACUUCUGUGAGGACAGUACUUCUGUGAUACAUCCACACAUAUAUAUCUGACUGGCAACAAUGUGACUGAGAAAUGUGUGACUGUUGUCUUGGUUACAUAAUCCUGAAACUGUCAAAAUACUAUGUGUCAUUGUAUAUAUUCAUGAUAGGUUUCAGUUUGUUAUAGAAAACAGAGACUGUUGUAUUUAUUCAUAUUGAUGAGUGUUGUUUACAUUGUUUGUUUGAAUGGACUUAAAGUUGUUUGUAAAGUAAAUAUUUUGUAAUUUUA